rnacentral:rRNA from 1 species
CACGCAUGACACACUGCAUAUCAAUAAGCGGAGGAAAAGAAACUAACAAGGAUUCCCCUAGUAACGGCGAGUGAAGCGGGAAGAGCUCAAAUUUGAAAUCUUAAAGGUUUUCCCUUGACGAAUUGUAGUUUAUAAGAAGUGUUUUCUGUUAGUAGAGUUGGCUAAAAGUUCUUUGGAAUAGGACAUCAUAGAGGGUGAGAAUCCCGUAUUUGACCAUUUAUUUUCAGCUUUGUGAUACACUUUCAAAGAGUCGGAUUGUUUGGGAAUGCAGUCCAAAAUGGGUGGUAAAUUUCAUCUAAAGCUAAAUAUUGGCGAGAGACCGAUAGCGAACAAGUACCGUGAGGGAAAGAUGAAAAGAACUUUGAAAAGAGAGUUAAACAGUACGUGAAAUUGUCAAAAGGGAAGCGUUUGACACCAGUGUUGUUUUUCCGAAAAUCAAUUACGAAUGUUUUGUUUUUGAGAAGUUAUGACUUCAUCGGCUUGCUUCUCUCUUUACGAAACUUUCUUAAUGCACUUUUCGGUUAACAAGUCAACAUCAAUUUCUUUUGUUGUAAAAGGGUAUGAGGAAGGUGGCUUUCUUUUCGGAGAAAGUGUUUAUAGCCUUUGGCCUCUGCAAUCGGAGAGAUUGAGGUCUGCAGCGUAGAUCCUUCGGGGUUAGAUGCAUUUGUGCUAAGCUAUAGCCUUUCAUAGACAACUUGUUGACUAUGAUCAGUCAUGUAGCUUACUCGCUUAUGUCAUUUUACCUACGCUUAGGAUGUUGACUGAUAUGUAGUCGUA